rnacentral:rRNA from 1 species
CCUACGGGUGGCAGCAGUGGGGAAUAUUGGACAAUGGGCGAAAGCCUGAUCCAGCCAUGCCGCGUGUGUGAAGAAGGCCUUCGGGUUGUAAAGCACUUUCAGUGGGGAAGAAAGCCUUGGGGCUAAUACCCUCGAGGAAGGACAUCACCCACAGAAGAAGCCCCGGCUAACUCCGUGCCAGCAGCCGCGGUAAUACGGAGGGUGCGAGCGUUAAUCGGAAUUACUGGGCGUAAAGCGCGCGUAGGCGGUCUGAUAAGCCGGUUGUGAAAGCCCCGGGCUCAACCUGGGAACGGCAUCCGGAACGGUCAGGCUAGAGUGCAGGAGAGGAAGGUAGAAUUCCCGGUGUAGCGGUGAAAUGCGUAGAGAUCGGGAGGAAUACCAGUGGCGAAGGCGGCCUUCUGGACUGACACUGACGCUGAGGUGCGAAAGCGUGGGUAGCAAACAGGAUUAGAUACCCUUGUAGUC